rnacentral:lncRNA from 1 species
GCCUGCCUGCACAUGCUUUUUCACACUCUGCCCAAACUGCAAACUUUAGUAGCUUCAUGUUUUAAAGCCUGCCAGUGUAGCAGAACAAUUUUCAAUCUGUGGAGCUGAACAAUGAGGGGGAAACUGAAGCCACAGGAGUGCAAAGAGAAAGAGAUAAGUAAAGAGAUUGUGUUGAUUCCACUUUUGAAGAAAUCUCAAAACUUUGGCAUAAAGAAAGAGCUUUUCUAACUGUAUUAUCUCAGUUAAGAGGUCUCCAACCUUUAACAGUAAAAGAGCCUUUUGGGCUCAAUUUUCUACUGAUUAAAACCUAGAGGCAGCUGCAAAGUUUUACUUUACCUUUUAAGAAAUUUGUAGUUGCAUUCGUGACCUUCCUUUUUUAAAAUGAUAAAUAUCAAUUAUGUUUUUUUUUUUUUUGGCACAAAAAGCAAAAAAAAAAAAACAAUUAGGUAAUCCUUAAUUUAAGAAAUUGCUAUUUUAAUUUUCUUUUGUUUUGGUUCUUUUUCUCCUCUUCGUCCUCAGCAGUCUUUCACUGCUGGGUUUUGUUAUUUUAGUUUGGGGUUGGAUCUUGGUAGUCUUAGUUUUCAGGCUUUGUUUAUUUGUUUUCUUUAGAUAGUUUUGGUUAAGCAGACAUUAUCAGAGGUCGACAUGUCUGGAUCAACAGUCUCCAUGAAUUAUGUCGGUCAAGGAGCCACUAUGGAGAGAUGAAAGAGACACGUGUGGAUCUGGAGUCAAAGGUGCAGCAGCGGAGCAGCUCUGCUGGAAGUGGAUCAGAACAAGUUUGGCCCAAACUCCAAAAAGUGAAAUCUAAACUAGAUGAACUGUCUUCAAACAAGAAUAUACAUGCUCAUUUUUUAAUGGUAAGAUCAUUUUACUCACUAAAUUUUAUGCCAGAUCGUUUGCCUUAUUUAAGAGUUUUGGUAUUUCAUAAUCUCAAUAAGAUAUUAAGGUUUGUUAUUAAGAUUUUAUGACCUAUUAUAAGUAAAAAACACACUUAAAACUAGAAUCUCAAUAGUGACAACAGUAACAUCUUCAUUCAAACCUGAUGUAAUACGGCCAAGAUCAAUUCAGG